UACGUAGGGGGCGAGCGUUGUCCGGAUUUAUUGGGCGUAAAGAGCGUGUAGGCGGCCAGGUAGGUCCGUUGUGAAAACUCGAGGCUCAACCUCGAGACGCCGAUGGAAACCAUCUGGCUAGAGUCCGGAAGAGGAGAGUGGAAUUCCCGGUGUAGCGGUGAAAUGCGCAGAUAUCGGGAAGAACACCCGUGGCUAAGGCGGCUCUCUAGUACGGUACUGACGCUGAGACGCGAAAGCGUGGGGAGCGAACAGG
rnacentral:rRNA from 1 species